ACUCCUACGGGAGGCAGCAGUGGGGGAAUAUUGCACAAUGGGCGCAAGCCUGAUGCAGCAACGCCGUGUGAGUGAAGAAGGUUUUCGGAUCGUAAAACUCUGUCCUAAGGGAAGAAAAAAUGACGGUACCUUAGGAGGAAGCCCGGCUAACUACGUGCCAGCAGCCGCGGUAAUACGUAGGGGGCAAGCGUUAUCCGGAAUCACUGGGGCGUAAAGGGGUGCGUAGGCGGCUUAGCAAGCCAGGGGUGAAAGGCAUUGGCUCAACCAAUGUAAGCCUUUGGAACUGUUAAGCUUGAGUGCAGGAGAGGUAAGUGGAAUUCCUAGUGUAGAGGUGAAAUUCGUAGAUAUUAGGAGGAACACCGAGUGGCGAAGGCGACUUACUGGACUGUAACUGACGCUGAUGCACGAAAGCGUGGGUAGCGAACAGGAUUAGAUACCCUGGUA
rnacentral:rRNA from 1 species